GUAACGCGUGAGUAACCUGCCUCUCAGAGGGGGAGUAACGUUCUGAAAAGGACGCUAAUACCGCAUGACAUCCCGGGGCCCGGCAUGGUCCUGGGAUCAAAGGAGCAAUCCGCUGAGAGAUGGACUCACGUCCGAUUAGCUAGUUGGUGAGAUAAAGGCCCACCAAGGCGACGAUCGGUAGCCGGACUGAGAGGUUGAACGGCCACAUUGGGACUGAGACACGGCCCAGACUCCUACGGGAGGCAGCAUG
rnacentral:rRNA from 1 species